ACCGUGCGCCUACAAUCCGUCGGAGCCCCUUUGUGGGGUGACGGCGUGCCUAUCGAAAAAUGAGUCUGCGAGUCAGUGGCAUGUGGCGAGCAUAAGCCGUGUGGCGUAUGCGUAGCGAAGGCGAGUCUUAAAAGGCGUUUGAGUCGCGUGUCCUGGACCCGAAGCGGGAUGAUCUAGCCCUGAGCAGGUUGAAGCGCGGGUAAGACCGUGUGGAGGACCGAACCCACCUGGGUUGAAAACCGGGGGGAUGACUUGGGGCUAGGGGUGAAAGGCCAAUCAAAUUCCGUGAUAGCUGGUUCUCUCCGAAAUGCAUUUAGGUGCAGCGUCGGAUCGAUUACAUCCGGGGGGUAGAGCGACUGGAUGCUUGCGGGCCCAUAUCGGGUACCAACAGCAACCAAACUCCGAAUACCCGUGAUGCGUAUCCCGGCAGUGAGUCGGCGGGGGAUAAGCUCCGUCGUCGAAAGGGAAACAGCCCAGAUCGUCGUCUAAGGUCCCCAAGCGUGUGCUAAGUGGGAAAGGAUGUGGAGUCGCAUAGACAGCCAGGAGGUUGGCUCAGAAGCAGCCACCCUUGAAAGAGUGCGUAACAGCUCACUGGUCUAGUGGUUCCGCGCCGACAAUGUAGCGGGGCUCAAGCACACCACCGAAGACGCGGCAGUAGCUUUGCUACUGGGUAGGAGAGCGUCCCAUGCGGGGCGAAGCGGCGGCGCAAGCCCGCCGUGGACUGCAUGGGAGUGAGAAUGCAGACAUGAGUAGCGAAAGACGGGUGAAGAUCCCGUCCGCUGGACGACCAAGGGUUCCAGGGCCACGUUCAUCGUCCCUGGGUGAGUCGGGUCCUAAGGCGAGGCCGACAGGCGUAGUCGAAUGGAUGAACGGGUCGAUAUUCCCGUACCGGCAUGCAACCGACAAAACCGAAUCCGCGAGUACUAACCUCCGGGUCCGGGCUUACGUCUCCUUCGGGAGCCGGAUGCCCUGGCCUGUUGGGACCGUAACGGUAGUAGGUCAGCGCGGGAGUGACGCAGAAGGGUAGCCGGCCGCGGAGGUGGUCUUCCGUGGUCAAGCACGCAGCCCGUCCCACAGGCAAAUCCGUGGGGCGCGUGGGCGAGGUGCGAUGAUGGGCGCCGCAGGGCGCGAUAUCCGGUGAUCCCGGCUGCCGAGAAAAGCUUCGGCGUGAGGCGGCGUGCCGCCCGUACCCCAAACCGACACUGGUGGUCAGGUAGAGAAUACCAAAGCGAUCGAGCGAAUCCUGGUCAAGGAACUCGGCAAAUCACUCCCGUUCCUUCGGUUUAAGGGAGACCCCCGAUGGUGAAGCGGCUUGCCCGUGGAGCUUUUGGGGGUGGCACAGACCAGGGGGUAGCGACUGUUUACCAAAAACACAGGAGCGUGCGAAGGCGCAAGCCGCUGUAUACGCUCUGACGCCUGCCCGGUGCCGGAAGGUUAAGAGGAUCCGUCAGGCUUCGGCCGAAGCGGUGAAUUCAAGCCCCGGUAAACGGCGGUGGUAACUAUAACCAUCCUAAGGUAGCGAAAUUCCUUGUCGGGUAAGUUCCGACCUGCACGAAUGGCGUAACGACUUCCCCACUGUCUCGACCAGGAGCUCGGCGAAAUUGCAGUACGAGUAAAGAUGCUCGUUAAGCGCAGAAGGACGAAAAGACCCCGGGACCUUUACUAUACCUUGGUAUUGGCAUUCGGUGUGGAUUGUGUAGCAUAGGCGGAAGGCUUCGAAGCCACGGCGCCAGCCGCGGUGGAGCCGCAAGGUGAAAUACCGCUCUGUUCGCAUUGGAUGUCUAACCUCGACCAGUCAUCCUGGUCAGGGACAGUGCCUGGCGGGUAGUUUAACUGGGGCGGUUGCCUCCCAAAGAGUAACGGAGGCGCUCAAAGGUUCCCUCAGCCCGGUUGGCAAUCGGGUGGCGAGUGUAAGUGCACAAGGGAGCUUGACUGCGAGACUGACGGGUCGAGCAGGGACGAAAGUCGGAACUAGUGAUCCGGUGCCGGUGUACGGACGCGGCAUCGCUCAACGGAUAAAAGGUACCCCGGGGAUAACAGGCUGAUCAUUCCCAAGAGUCCAUAUCGACGGGAUGGUUUGGCACCUCGAUGUCGGCUCGUCGCAUCCUGGGGCUGGAGCAGGUCCCAAGGGUUCGGCUGUUCGCCGAUUAAAGCGGCACGCGAGCUGGGUUCAGAACGUCGUGAGACAGUUUGGUCUCUAUCCUCUGCGCUCGUCGGAAUGUUGAGGAGGCCUGCCCAUAGUACGAGAGGACCUGGGUGGACGAACCUCUGGUAUGCCGGUUGUCACGCCAGUGGCACGGCCGGUUGGCUACGUUCGGAAGGGAUAACCGCUGAAAGCAUCUAAGCGGGAAGCCUGCUCCAAGAUAAGCAUUCCAUAGGACUACGGGUCCUUGA
rnacentral:rRNA from 1 species